rnacentral:rRNA from 1 species
GAUGAACGCUGGCGGCGUGCCUAAUACAUGCAAGUCGAGCGAACGGACGAGAAGCUUGCUUUUCUGAUGUUAGCGGCGGACGGGUGAGUAACACGUGGAUAACCUACCUAUAAGACUGGGAUAACUUCGGGAAACCGGAGCUAAUACCGGAUAAUCUUUUGACCCGCAUGGUUCAAAAGUGAAAGACGGUUUUGCUGUCACUUCUAGAUGGAUCCGCGGUGCAUUAGCUAGUUGGUAAGGUAACGGCUUACCAAGGCAACGAUGGAUAGCCGACCUGAGAGCGUGGUGGGCGACACUGGAGCUGAGCCACGGUCCAGGGACCGAGGGGAGGCAGCAGUAGGGAAUCGUCGGAGAUGGGGGGAAGCCUGACGGAGCGGCGGCGGGUGGGUGAUGAAAGUCUUCGGAUCGUAAAACUGUGUUAGUGGGGAAGAACAUAUGUGUAAGUAACUGUGCACAGCGUGACGGUACCGAAUCAGAAAGCCACGGCUAACUACGUG